rnacentral:lncRNA from 1 species
CGAAGUCAAAGUCCGUGGCGAUGCUGCUCCUUGGGCGCUAGAAUCAGAGGGCGCUGUGUGCGUGUCCAGAGGAGAGGCGUCCGCUCCGCAUCCAGGCCCGGUGCCCCCGGCGCCCCUCCUGCUCCUUAUGCUUCUCACAGCUGCCAGACUGUCUCCCUCCCAAGGCCAUGCCUGCAGGAGCGAGGAAAGAAAAACAAGAGGAACUGGGGGAGACAAGGAGUGAGAACACGGCUCUCCGGGACUCCAUCGGAUCACAGAACAGCAGGAGGACAAGCGUGUGGAGUAGCAGCCACGGGGGCAGGGUGGCUGGUGACGCGGUCGCCCAAGGACCAGCUCUCAGCCUUCUGCUGUGCUUCCUUCCCCGGGGCCAACAGCUGAGGUCUCAUCGAAGAGCUCCCCUCUACAAGCACCGAAGGGCAUCCCUGUACCUUCCCUGGUCCUUCACGUGGCUCCCUCCUCUCCCAGCGGACAACUGGCUACCAGCAUGCGAAUCCGGGCCUGGCCCCCCUGCUCUGCUGGAUUACGGAGGAAGAGAUGAGGAAACUGGACCCCCGACUUGCCCAAAGACGAAGACCCGGUUUGAGGCUGGGGCCUUCCAAAUCACCGUCCAUGGCAUCUUCUGCCCUAGAACGCCACAUCCUCCUCAUUCCAGCCUUCCUCUCCCACCCACCCCCACCUCUCUGGCUCCAUUUCAUCCUGAUCACGAGGUCCCCAGUGGGAAUGUGUAACACCGUCAACUUCAAUCCAGCGACCCUGCUCCCAGAUAUUUGCCUAUGGGAGAGAACACAUGUGCCCUCCUACAGGCUUGGAGAUGAAUUUCUCUGCAUCUUUCCUCCUAAUAAUCAAAAAACUGAAAGCAGGUGACGGUUGACAGACGACAACACGAACUGGUGUGGGGCCAUGCAAUGGAAUAUUGCUCAUCAAUAAAAAGGAGCAAAUUGCUGAGGAAUGUGACCA